CCCCUUUACCUCUCCCUGUGCUGAAGGAACAUCAUGAUCAGUCACAACAAAAAGUGGAGGAGAAGAUGAGGUUGAGGAUAAUGAUGAGUUAUUGAGGACAUCACCAUGGACUUUUGGGAGAUCAACUUUGAUGUAUAUAGAAUUGAGAAAGGAGGUGAUAGGUUGGUGGAAAUAUGAGGUUUUCUUUCUACUACAAUUCUGAGGGACAAAGUACAAGACACUGCAGAAGCAGGUAGUGAUCAGAACAAACUUCUGGUCCUCUUGGAUGGCCUCAUGAGCGUUAUAAAUAGGUAGGGUGGGGAUAGCAUAUGGUCUUCAAAAUAUUUUGGACUCUAGUCUACAAAAUAAAUGUUGGACUUUUCUCUGUUUUGGCAAACAGCAGCAACCUAUGUUUGUUACCAUUUUAUUACUACCUGCUUUAAAUG